AUACGGUUAUAUCACUUUGACACAUAGGCUCUCGUACGAUCACCGACGUUAAGUAACGUCGGGCAUGGUCAGUAAGUUGAUGGGUGCCCGCAUGGGAAUAGCAGGUGUUGCCAG